ensembl:ncRNA lncRNA:CR45507 long non-coding RNA:CR45507
UGCCUUUAAACCUAAUCAAUUUGCCUGUCUGGUGACACUGCCACCGACCGGAAGCUGAAGCUCACCCGCUCCGAGGCACAAGUCCGGACAUUAAAAGCAGUCAUUAACUUUUAAAUGAAGCAACGGAAACAAGAUAAGCACGUGAGGUGGGUGGCGAGCCCGCGACCCCCUGAUCCUGAACCGAGUCCGACUCACCCCAACCCCCCCCCCCCCACACACACUCACACAGCCCACUGCCACGCCCACCACGUCGCCGCAACCAAAUGACCCAUAAUUAUUCAAUAAGAAAUAAUAAAGUGUGGGACAGAGGAAGUCGCAACGAAAACGGGGGGCACAUAUUUUCACUGAUGGACACGCCAAGGCUCAAAGGAUGCGGGGAAAAUGGGGAAUUGGGAUUUUGAGGGUACACUGCAAAAAGAACCCAAAGGUCGUGAGCUCAGCAAAUUAAACACACUUGGUGUGUCUGCAUAAGAC